CUUCGUACUACUUAAACAUUUGG
rnacentral:piRNA from 1 species